rnacentral:misc_RNA from 1 species
AAGGAAACAAUUAUCAUCUUCAGUUUUGAGAGACUUAAGAAAGUUUUUCAUUUUAACUUGAUUGCAAAUAUGAAUUUGUAACAUUUAAUAUUUUUUAAGAUGAAGGGUCUAUAGCUUAUUUGGUUAUAGCAAGUUCUUUAUAAUUGUGAGUUCGUUAGUUUAAUUCCAUUUAUACUACCAUAAUCACAAAUAGGCAAAAUCUUAAAAAAACUCUUUGAAAAGUAGAUAAACGAAGGUUAAAA